rnacentral:rRNA from 1 species
ACGGAAGGCAGCAGUGGGGAAUAUUGCGCAAUGGGCGGAAGCCUGACGCAGCGACGCCGCGUGGGGGAUGACGGCCUUCGGGUUGUAAACCUCUUUCGGCCCCGACGAAGCGAAAGUGACGGUAGGGGUAGAAGAAGCACCGGCCAACUACGUGCCAGCAGCCGCGGUAACACGUAGGGUGCGAGCGUUGUCCGGAAUUAUUGGGCGUAAAGAGCUCGUAGGCGGUGUGUCGCGUCGGCCGUGAAAACCUGUGGCUUAACUGUGGGCUUGCGGUCGAUACGGGCAUCACUGGAGUUCGGCAGGGGAGACUGGAAUUCCUGGUGUAGCGGUGAAAUGCGCAGAUAUCAGGAGGAACACCGGUGGCGAAGGCGGGUCUCUGGGCCGAUACUGACGCUGAGGAGCGAAAGCGUGGGGAGCGAACAGGAUUAGAUACCCUGGUA